rnacentral:SRP_RNA from 1 species
GCCGGGCGUGGUGGCGCAUGCCUGUAAUCCCAGCUACAUGGGAGGCUGAGGCAGGAGAAUCGCUUGAGCCUGGGAGGCAGAGGUUGCAGUGAGCCAAGACUGCACCACUGCACUCCAGCCUGAGUGACAGAGUGAGACUCUGUCUCAA